rnacentral:rRNA from 1 species
UACGUAGGCAGCGAGCGUUGUUCGGAGUUACUGGGCGUAAAGGGUGCGUAGGCGGUUGUUUAAGGUUGGUGUGAAAUCUCCCGGCUCAACUGGGAGGGUGCGCCGAAUACUGAAUGACUAGAGUGCGGGAGAGGAGAGUGGAAUUCCUGGUGUAGCGGUGAAAUGCGUAGAUAUCAGGAGGAACACCGGUGGUGUAGACGGCUCUCUGGACCGUAACUGACGCUGAGGCACGAAAGCGUGGGUAGCAAACAGG